CCUUUCCUCGUUCAUCCUAAACCUUUCCCUCUACGUUUCUUCUACAGCAAACCAUGGAUCUUCAGCAUCAAAUACCUGAGAUGAACAAGGAGGUCACCAAGCUUGCUAGGAAGUUACGCCUUUCACUUCUACUCCAUAAACCAUUCUAUGCACAGUUGCGAUCUAGCAGACUACAACAAAGUAAUCUUGAACCAGUUGCGAUCCAAGCCGAGAGAAGCCAAGCGGAAAUUGAUGAUGUUAUCGAUAUAGCAAAUGCUAUUCCGGAACCCUAUAUUCAUUAAAACAUCUAUUUGUUACAGAGAACCCUAUGCGUCUUUGUUUUUCAUUAAAACAUCUGUUUAUUACUGGGUUACAAAUUAUGAGAACCCUAAUCUGAUUACUAACUCUUUUGUUUUGUUACAGAGAUUAGAGUUGAUUCACGGUUGGGUGUAUCUGUAACGAAGAACCCUAAUCUGACCAAGAACAAGAGGCCCAGCAGAUUGUUGCAAGUGCUACGGACAACCAUUCUUUACAGAUAUUAUCGAAAUAUGAAGAGGCUCCACAACCAAGUUACAUAGUUGCCAUUAUUCUUAAAUUUGUUGGCAACGUUAUAUGCUGCCAUCACAUUAUUGCUCUUAUAUCGUGUAUAUGUUUAAAUCAAUUAGAUAUGAAAUGUAAGUUGGAUUUUGAAAUGUUGACGUCCUACUGUGAAUACACAGGUUUAUGGUUGCACGAAAACAAAUUCUCGAAAUGUAAUAUAGAUAUGAUUCUGUGAUAUGUUAUGUUUGACACUACCUUCUUGCUUGCUAUCUUAACUCAACUGGUAGUGCACAUGGCCUUCAGCCAUGUAGUUGUGGGUUCGACUCCAGCAGAUGGCAUAUAAGUUAAGUCUUCUCUUUGUGCAAUGACCACCAAUUAAUCCGAUAUUGUAAUUGUAGAUACUCAAGAAAAUCCAUACGCGCAUACAAUUGUAGUUUUGGUAGUGUUUCCCUCAAUUCCUCUUGGAAGAGGCAAAAAAAGAAAAACUGGACAGCGAUGCACAUUUAUCAUCUUUAUGUGUGUUGUUAUAGUUGUUAUUUUUUAUGGAAGUAGGAGGAAACUGGCGUAAUACCGUAUUUGUAUUGUGUUGGUAAACACCAUCUUGCAUUAUGUGUUGGUAAACACCAUUUUGCAUAAUCGUAGCUGCUGAGAUUUUUGGGCGCAUGGUGAGUGAAAAAGCCUGUGUAUCUAGAGGUGCCUCACUUAACUUUUCUCUCUCUCAUUUUUUGAUCAAUAGCUGCAUGUUUACCGUGUUUUGCAAUUUCUUGGCUGUUCAUGCAAAGAGUGAAAGACGCAAGAAAAGGAUCGACUGUAUUCAGUACUGAAGGAAGUUCCAUUUAUAUGAGAUCGGAAAGUUGAAAUGAAAUUGUUGGCACACUUUGGCAUUUUGAAAUAAAUCCAGGGAUUGCCUUUGUUUCUAGAGGAAAUUUCAAUGGUAUCUUAACUCCGAUGUAGCUCUACCAAGAAAACCCAGUUACCAUGUAUAUGGCAGUUAGCCAGAUUCUUGAAUUGCUAACCAUGCCAGAUCUGUGUUAGGAUCACCCGUAAAUGGCUUGAAGUUGACUUGAUGCUCACCCAAGAGGUUACCAGUUUGGUUGUGUUGUUGCUCGACCAAAAUGUUAAUUGAUGAAUUGAAGACUGCACAACGUUUUUGUCAUGCGAAGACUGCACACCGUUCUUUUUUCCAAAUGGAAUUGAACACACCUCUGACACACAUUUGCUCUUCAAUAGCUCCCCAGUCGUAUAAGGAAGUCUUGGUAGUUUGAAUCAUUCUAACAUUUAUAUAGUGAAUGAGUUUCACCUUUCACAGAUAUCUCCAACUAGAUUGUUUGUUACUUUUUUUUGUAUCACAGUGAUAGUAAACAUUCUCAAGCACAAUGCAUCUGUGCGCUAAUGUGAUACCAAGGAGCAUUGCAUGUGAAUCUUGCAUCUUGGUAAUCUUUGUCAUAUCUCCUCAUAUGUGCACUUUGGGUUUUAUGUUUGCCCAUUAUUUUUCUAUAACUGUAGUACCGUUAUUGGACCAAUUAACAUGAUAUAUACUGUGGGUUUGGAAA